AAAGAAAAGAGGAUGAUGGGAAGAAGGAGGGUGUGAAUGCAGCAGGUGUACCAUGUUGUUGUUGUUGUUGUAUUGCCAUUCGUCUUCUUCGUAUUGUUGCAAUUGUUGUUGAUGAUGGGGAAGAACGUGUCAAGCUACAAUGGAAGAAUGGGAAUAAAAA
rnacentral:ribozyme from 14 species